rnacentral:rRNA from 1 species
GACGAACGCUGGCGGCGUGCUUAACACAUGCGAGUCGAACGGAAAGGCCCUGCUUGCAGGGUACUCGAGUGGCGAACGGGUGAGUAACACGUGGGUGAUCUGCCCCGCACUUCGGGAUAAGCCUGGGAAACUGGGUCUAAUACCGGAUAGGAGCCAUUUUUAGUGUGAUGGUUGGAAAGUUUUUUCGGUGUAGGAUGAGCUCGCGGCCUAUCAGCUUGUUGGUGGGGUAAUGGCCUACCAAGGCGGCGACGGGUAGCCGGCCUGAGAGGGUGGACGGCCACAUUGGGACUGAGAUACGGCCCAGACUCCUACGGGAGGCAGCAGUGGGGAAUAUUGCACAAUGGGCGCAAGCCUGAUGCAGCGACGCCGCGUGGGGGAUGACGGCCUUCGGGUUGUAAACUCCUUUCGCUAGGGACGAAGCUUUUUGUGACGGUACCUAGAUAAGAAGCACCGGCUAACUACGUG